UACGUAGGGUGCAAGCGUUACUCGGAAUUACUGGGCGUAAAGCGUGCGCAGGCGGCUUUGCAAGACAGAUGUGAAAUCCCCGGGCUUAACCUGGGAACUGCAUUUGUGACUGCAUGGCUGGAGUCUGGCAGAGGGGGGUGGAAUUCCACGUGUAGCAGUGAAAUGCGUAGAGAUGUGGAGGAACACCGAUGGCGAAGGCAGCCCCCUGGGCCAAGACUGACGCUCAUGCACGAAAGCGUGGGGAGCAAACAGG
rnacentral:rRNA from 1 species